rnacentral:rRNA from 1 species
UACGUAUGGUGCAAGCGUUAUCCGGAUUUACUGGGUGUAAAGGGAGCGUAGGCGGCCGUGCAAGUCAGGUGUGAAAUCCCGGGGCUCAACCCCGGUACUGCACUUGAAACUGCGUGGCUGGAGUACAGGAGAGGCAGGCGGAAUUCCUAGUGUAGCGGUGAAAUGCGUAGAUAUUAGGAAGAACACCGGUGGCGAAGGCGGCCUGCUGGACUGGAUACUGACGCUGAGGCUCGAAAGCGUGGGGA